UACGUAGGGAGCAAGCGUUAUCCGGAUUUACUGGGUGUAAAGGGCGCGUAGGCGGGAUGGCAAGUCAGAUGUGAAAUCCAGGGGCUCAACCCCUGAACUGCAUUUGAAACUGUCGUUCUUGAGUACUGGAGAGGAAAGUGGAAUUCCUAGUGUAGCGGUGAAAUGCGUAGAUAUUAGGAGGAACACCAGUGGCGAAGGCGACUUUCUGGACAGAAACUGACGUUGAGGCACGAAAGUGUGGGGAGCAAACAGG
rnacentral:rRNA from 1 species